AACGAACGCUGGCGGCGUGCCUAACACAUGCAAGUCGAACGUGAAAGUACUUCGGUAUGGAGUAAAGUGGCGCACGGGUGAGUAACACGUAGGUGACCUGCCUUUUAGAGGGAAUAACCAGAUGAAAAUUUGGCUAAUGCCGCAUACGAAGAACAAAUAUAAUAGUAGUUCUUGAAAGGAUGCCUCUGUAUAUGCAUCCACUAAAAGAUGGGCCUGCGGAACAUUAGCUAGUUGGUGGGGUAAAGGCCUACCAAGGCAACGAUGUUUAUCCGGUCUGAGAGGAUGAUCGGACACACUGGAACUGAGACACGGUCCAGACUCCUACGGGAGGCAGCAGUGGGGAAUAUUGCGCAAUGGGGGAAACCCUGACGCAGCAACGCCGCGUGAGUGAGGAAGGACUUCGGUCUGUAAAGCUCUGUUAAUGAGGAAAAAUGGUAGUUGGUCUAAUAGGCCGAUUAUUUGAUGGUACUCAUAGAGGAAGCACCGGCUAACUUCGUG
rnacentral:rRNA from 1 species